GGGAAAGCUAAGGAAGGCCAUGGAGGGCUAGGGAGAGCUAAGGAAGGCCAUGGAAGGCCAAGGAAGGCUAACAAAGGCCAGGGAACACCAAGGAAGGCUACGAAAGUGUAGGGAAGACUAGGGAGGGGUAAGGAAGGCCAAGGAAAGCUAAGGGGGUGUAGGGAAGACUAGGGAAAGGUAAGGAAGGCCAAGGAAAGCUAAGGGGGUGUAGGGAAGACUAGGGAGGGGUAAGGAAGGCUAAGGGUGUGUAGGGAAGACUAGGGAAAGGUAAGGAAGGUCAAGGAAAACUAAGGAGGUGUAGGGAAGACUAGGGAAUGG